rnacentral:rRNA from 1 species
AGUUCGAUUCUGGCUCAGAUUGAACGCUGGCAGGAUGACUUUUACAUACAAGUCGGGCAGCGCUGGACUUCGGUCUGGUGGCGAGUGGCGAACGGGUGAGUAAUGUAUCGGAACGUGCCUAGUAGCGGGGGAUAACUACGCGAAGCGUAGCUAAUACCGCAUACGCCCUUCGGGGAAAGCGGGGACCUUCGGACACUCGCACUAUUAGAGCGGCCGAUAUCGGAUUGGCUAGUUGGUGGGGUAACGGCUCACCAGGCGACGAUCCGUAGCUGGUUUGAGAGGACGACCAGCCACACUGGGACUGAGACACGGCCCAGACUCCUACGGGAGGCAGCAGUGGGGUACCCCGGACAAUGGGGAAACCCUGAUCCAGCCAUCCCGCGUGUGCGAUGAAGGCCUUCGGGUUGUAAAGCACUUUUGGCAGGAAAGAAACGGCACGGGAUAAUACCCCGUGCAACUGAUGCCUGCAGAAUAAGCACCGGCUAACUACGUGCCAGCAGCCGCGGUAAUACGUAGGGUGCAAGCGUUAAUCGGAAUUACUGGGCGUAAAGCGUGCGCAGGCGGUUCGGAAAGAAGAUGCUUGAAAUCGAAACGCUUUGGAACUGCAUUUUUUAACUACAAAACUAGAGUGUGUGUCAGAGGGAGGUGGAAUUCCGCGUGUAGCAGUGAAAUGCGUAGAUAUGCGGAGGAACACCGAUGGCGAAGGCAGCCUCCUGGGAUAACACUGACGCUCAUGCACGAAAAGCGUGGGGAGCAAACAGGAUUAGAUACUGGUAGUCCACGCCCUAAACGAUGUCAACUAGCUGUUGGGGCCUUCGGGCCUUGGUAGCGCAGCUAACGCGUGAAGUUGACCGCCUGGGAGAGUACGGUCGCGGGAUUAAAACUCAAAGGAAUUGACGGGGACCCGCACAAGCGGUGGAUGAUGGAUUAAUUCGAUGCAACGCGAAAAACCUUACCUACCCUUGACAUGUCUGGAAUCCCGAAGAGAUUUGGGAGUGCUCGCAAGAGAACCGGAACACAGGUGCUGCAUGGCUGUCGUCAGCUCGUGUCGUGAGAUGUUGGGUUAAGUCCCCUACAACGAGCGCAACCCUUGUCAUUAGUUGCUACGAAAGGGCACUCUAAUGAGACUGCCGGUGACAAACCAGGAGGAAGGUGGAUGACGUCAAGUCCUCACUUAGCGCAUAUGGGUGAGGACUUCACACGUCAUACAAUGGUCGGGACGGGGUCGCCAACCCGCGAGGAAGACCAACCCCGAAACCCGAUCGUAGUCCGGAUCGCAGUCUGCAACUCGACUGCGUGAAGUCGGAAUCGCUAGUAAUCGCGGAUCAGCAUGUCGCGGUGAAUACGUUCCCGGGUCUUGUACGCACCGCCCGUCACACCAUGGGAGUGGGUUUUACCAGAAGUAGUUAGCCUAACCGUAAGGAGGCGAUUACCACGGUAGGAUUCAUGACUGGGGGUGAAGUCGUAACAAG